rnacentral:rRNA from 1 species
AUUGAACGCUGGCGGAAUGCUUUACACAUGCAAGUCGAACGGCAGCACGGGGGCAACCCUGGUGGCGAGUGGCGAACGGGUGAGUAAUAUAUCGGAACGUGCCCAGUCGUGGGGGAUAACGUAGCGAAAGUUACGCUAAUACCGCAUACGAUCUACGGAUGAAAGCGGGGGAUCGCAAGACCUCGCGCGAUUGGAGCGGCCGAUAUCAGAUUAGGUAGUUGGUGGGGUAAAGGCUCACCAAGCCAACGAUCUGUAGCUGGUCUGAGAGGACGACCAGCCACACUGGGACUGAGACACGGCCCAGACUCCUACGGGAGGCAGCAGUGGGGAAUUUUGGACAAUGGGCGCAAGCCUGAUCCAGCCAUUCCGCGUGCAGGACGAAGGCCCUUCGGGUUGUAAACUGCUUUUGUACGGAACGAAAAGCCUUGGCUAAUACCCGGGGUCCAUGACGGUACCGUAAGAAUAAGCACCGGCUAACUACGUG